rnacentral:rRNA from 1 species
UACGUAGGGUGCAAGCGUUGUCCGGAAUUAUUGGGCGUAAAGAGCUCAUAGGCGGUUUGUCGCGUCUGCUGUGAAAACCCGAGGCUCAACCUCGGGCCUGCAGUGGGUACGGGCAGACUAGAGUGCGGUAGGGGAGAUUGGAAUUCCUGGUGUAGCGGUGGAAUGCGCAGAUAUCAGGAGGAACACCAAUGGCGAAGGCAGAUCUCUGGGCAUCUACUGACGCUGAGGAGCGAAAGCAUGGGGAGCGAACAGG